GGAUAAUCCUGGAGUUAAUGUAAGAUCAAUAAAGGAAUUAUUUAAUAUCAUGAAGGAGAAGGAUAAAACUGACUUUGAAAUGAAAGUGUCAAUGGUUGAAGUGUACAAUGAGUCAAUUUAUGAUCUAUUGAAGUCACCAAAUGAAGUACAAGAGAAACUUCAAAUACACAAAAAA